rnacentral:tRNA from 1 species
GAGGAUAUAACUCAGUGGCAGAGCACAUGCUUAGCAUGCAUGAGGUCCUGGGUUCAAUCUCCUAUACCUCCA